AUUGAACGCUGGCGGCAUGCCUUACACAUGCAAGUCGAACGGCAGCACGGGUGCUUGCACCUGGUGGCGAGUGGCGAACGGGUGAGUAAUACAUCGGAACAUGUCCUGUAGUGGGGGAUAGCCCGGCGAAAGCCGGAUUAAUACCGCAUACGAUCUACGGAUGAAAGCGGGGACCUUCGGGCCUCGCGCUAUAGGGUUGGCCGAUGGCUGAUUAGCUAGUUGGUGGGGUAAAGGCCUACCAAGGCGACGAUCAGUAGCUGGUCUGAGAGGACGACCAGCCACACUGGGACUGAGACACGGCCCAGACUCCUACGGGAGGCAGCAGUGGGGAAUUUUGGACAAUGGGCGAAAGCCUGAUCCAGCAAUGCCGCGUGUGUGAAGAAGGCCUUCGGGUUGUAAAGCACUUUUGUCCGGAAAGAAAUCCUUGGCCCUAAUACGGUCGGGGGAUGACGGUACCGGAAGAAUAAGCACCGGCUAACUACGUG
rnacentral:rRNA from 1 species